UACGAAGGGGGCUAGCGUUGUUCGGAAUCACUGGGCGUAAAGGGCGCGUAGGCGGCCGAUCAAGUCGGGGGUGAAAGCCUGUGGCUCAACCACAGAAUUGCCUUCGAUACUGUUUGGCUUGAGACCGGAAGAGGUAAGUGGAACUGCGAGUGUAGAGGUGAAAUUCGUAGAUAUUCGCAAGAACACCAGUGGCGAGGGCGGCUUACUGGUCCGGUUCUGACGCUGAGGCGCGAAAGCGUGGGGAGCAAACAGG
rnacentral:rRNA from 1 species